rnacentral:misc_RNA from 1 species
GAUGAAGAACGCAGCAAAAUGCGAUAAGUAAUGUGAAUUGCAGAAUUCAGUGAAUCAUCGAAUCUUUGAACGCACAUUGCGCCCGCUGGUAUUCCGGCGGGCAUGCCUGUUCGAGCGUCAUUUCAACCCUCAAGCCCCCGGGUUUGGUGUUGGGGAUCGGCUCUGCCCUUCUGGGCGGUGCCGCCCCCGAAAUACAUUGGCGGUCUCGCUGCAGCCUCCAUUGCGUAGUAGCUAACACCUCGCAACUGGAACGCGGCGCGGCCAUGCCGUAAAACCCCAACUUCUGAAUGUUGACCUCGGAUCAGGUAGGAAUACCCGCUGAACUUAAGCAUACAAUAAGCGGAGGA